AGAAAAUCAGAGGAAGGGCAUAUCUAGAGGAAAGCCAUGAGUUCUCUUUUUAUGAUCUUGCGCAAGUGAUAGCCUGUGAGUUUCAGGUUUUUAUCUGUAAACUGGGAAUGAUAACGCUAGGCUUGUUGAGAAGAUCAAAUGAGAUCACACAUGCAGAAGAGCUGUGUGAGGCAGAACGCACAGUUCAAAGUAGGAUCUUCUUACUGUCACAGAGACAGGAGGGAUAGAGGGGAGAAACAGAAGGUUGAUAAGCUGAAGGGGUAAAAGGACAAGCUGACCUUGAACCAAAUCCAUCUAGUCUUUUUGGGAAAAACCAGUGAUAGAGGCAGAGCUAAACCUUGAGACCUCAUCUGAGAUGUUCUUUUCUAAGCCCUGGGAGGCCCUGCUCUUUGUAACUGCUUCAGGCUGGAAGCAGAGAGCAGUUCCCACUCCUGACCACCACUGUCAGGACACAGUGUCUCCAUUAGGGCAUUUCCUGCCUGAUUCUGAGAAGUGGAAGCAUGCACCUUCCAGAAUGGUCCUGCUGCUCACUGGUCCUGCUGCCAGAGGCAGAAUUGCUGGGAGGAGCCCCUUGGAGGGGCCAGGGCACCUCCAAGAGACCAGAAGGAGAGAGGCUUCUGGGGGAGACGAGUGGGGGGCACACAAGAAGCACUGAACAGGGAUGGUUUCCUGGGAGUUUGGGGAGUUCUGAGAGCAGCAUGCAAUAAAUGAAUUGAAUCUUUGGGAAAACGAGGCUAAAGAGGCCCAGGAGUGCAGAGGAAGGUCCAGAUCGUUUCAAACAGAAGUGAAAACAGCACUAAAUUCAGGCUAAGACAGCUCUGGUGCCUGUUCCAGUCAUUCUGAGAGGGGGUAUUCAUAGUGCUGCCCCCAACCCCCCUCCAGUGUUUCCUGGUUCCUGCUGGAGUGUCUGAAGGGGCCGGUGUGUCCCCCAGAAGUGCCAAAACAUGAGGGAUGGAUGGGCUCGUGGAUGGGGUGCGGCUGGUUACACAGGCCCAGCCUGUGAGCGAGAAGCUUCCAGACUGCUCAGAGCUUCUCUGAGACACGCUCCGUCCCUCCACAAAUAUUAUUUCUGAGCAGGAAGGCCUUUGGCAAGCACCGAUCUGCAACACAUGUUCUGUUGCAGGGAGAGUUGGAGGCUUUAGUCUGGGGGCACUGAACUCCAAACCUGUAGUAAAGUCGGAAACAGCCCCCUGUCGUGGAAGGCACGUGCAGACUCUUGAGGAUUGACUUCCUACUUGGCAUCAGCCCUGGCUGAACUCGUGAAGGGACAACGGUCACCCCAGGGAAGCCCUUCUUCCUCUGCCCUCCCCUUUCCUUUCCCUGCCCCGUCCCACCUUCUCCCCUCUCCCACAGCCCCCACUUUUCUGCACAUUCGUAUUUCUAUCCAUCUUCAAAAAGGAUCUGAAGCCUGGCCUGACUCAGGUUUAAGUGACUGAUAACAGCUUAUCUCCAUGAGUUUGGAAUAUGGGCCACAGCUUUCAGCUAAGGGAGGGAAGUGUGGGUGGUAUUUUAUUUUAUAUUGUGGGUGGUAUUUUAAUCAGACUCUGACGCUGAAGCCCUGAUCCUUUCAAAGAUGAGACGGUGAAGCGGAUGGAGUUGGCUGCUCUCUCUGUUGGUCCCACUGUCAUAUGACCAACAAUCAAGAAGAGAAUUAGUGAUUCUUCAGUCUUAGGUUCCAAGAUAAGGAUCGUUUGAUCAGCCUGGGGGACCCCAGGGUCUGCCCUGUCACAACAUACCUUGGUCAUUUGAAAAGGAUGAUCCAAGAACCAGACUUUGAGAAAAAACGACCUAGUUCUGCAUUUGACUGGAGGGGAUCCAGCAUGGGGGUGAUGGUGGGCAGAGAAUGUCAGCUGCCAUGUUAGCAAACAAAGGAUGUUGUGGCCAUCAAGCCAUCAGCCACUGCAGCUGCCCCCCACUGACCCUCUGCCCUGCACCCUGAGGGGAUUUAGGAUGCAGAAAAAUAAGAUAGGUCUACAUCUAAGGGAUCAUUUCAAUGAGUUUAAACUUUUGCAUUUUCCCAUGCAGAGAAAAGUGUGAAAUUUAUUACGUGAGGUGGUCAAUUUCCUUUAAUCUUUUGGUAGUCCAACUACCUGAUUUUAUUUUUUUGCUAAAUCUCCAAUAUAUCCUGGCUCCUCCCUUACCUCUUUGUGCUUUAUUUCACUGAAUAAAACACGGCUCUCCAUUUUCAGGUUGUGCAUUUUUCUUCAGCUGACAGUUCCCUCCUGCCCCUUGUUUCAGUGCCAGGGCAGGUCCCGGGGUGGGUCACAACAGUAGCUGCUUCAGCCAAACCCCCAGCACCUGCCACUCAGCGAUUCUUCAGGGUUUCAAAUCAUGGAUGUCUUUUAUUUUAAAGGGCUAUCCAAGGAGAAAGUAAAGCACAAACGUCUGCCAGCCAGCCUGCAGGGGACAAGCCCAGGUCCAAGCUGGUCCCUGCGGAGUCCACCCAUGGGACACAGAAAGGACCAAAUUCUCUCCCCUGACAUCGAGGGGCUCUGCACACCUGCCCCCUGGGACUCCUGCCCACCACCCGCCCAGAUCUAAAGUGACUUUGAUCAGCCAGAUUCCUCCACAAGCCCCCAGCUUCUUCUCAAGAGUUUUGAGCUUCUCUGGCUGGACAAGAAUUUCCUUCUCAGGCAGGUCCCACAUAAAAACCAAAGCUCCCAUAGCCAGGUCCUGUUUGAGACGGGAACUCUUUCUUAGUCCAGAGGGAGAGAGUCAGGGCUGGAAAAUAGACACUGCCUUCCACAAGUUCAUAUCAAGUAGCCAGAAGCGGCAUUAACUGAUUAUUUGAAUAUAAAGCCCCAAUCUUUUCAUGGCUCUCUGCAGGAAAACUGGCCCGGAGGAAGGGAGAAGGGACCCCCACCAUGAGACACCAGUGUGCUGGGCAGGAGGUUACUGUUGACCUCUCCUCAUGACCUGCAUGGCGUUAGGAGAGCAGGGAAUCCUUCUCUCUUGCCUUCCUCACCCCGU
ensembl:lncRNA